rnacentral:rRNA from 1 species
CACGUAGGGUGCGAGCGUUGUCCGGAAUUAUUGGGCGUAAAGAGCUCGUAGGCGGUGUGUCGCGUCGGCCGUGAAAACCUGCAGCUUAACUGUGGGCUUGCGGUCGAUACGGGCAUCACUGGAGUUCGGCAGGGGAGACUGGAAUUCCUGGUGUAGCGGUGAAAUGCGUAGAUAUCGGGAGGAACACCAGUGGCGAAGGCGGCUGCCUGGGCCAGUUCUGACGCUGAGGCGCGAAAGCGUGGGGAGCAAACAGG